rnacentral:rRNA from 1 species
CCCCUACGGGAGGCAGCAGUGAGGAAUAUUGGUCAAUGGGCGCAAGCCUGAACCAGCCAAGUAGCGUGCAGGAAGACGGCCCUAUGGGUUGUAAACUGCUUUUAUACGAGAAUAAUUUGAUGCACGUGUGCGUUAUUGCAUGUAUCGUAUGAAUAAGGACCGGCUAAUUCCGUGCCAGCAGCCGCGGUAAUGGGG